rnacentral:rRNA from 1 species
AUGGUGCUGCCAGUACUGCCUGUCAGUCCAUGGAUACAGCUGAACUGCUGGCAACAAGAAGACCAGCACGUCACUCAACAAAUCGCAAGGAUUUAUUCACAUCUCCGACCAGCAGCAAUCGCCGAAGCAGUCCAUAACUCACACUCGCAAGGGUUGAUCAGUGAUCGCACGGGCCAAGGCAUUGCAGGCCUCGUAUAUCUCCCAACGCUCGUCGUGGUAUGUGUCUCUGGCGAGGAAGAUGUGCUUCUUCCCCUGGACUUCGACGGCGCUCCAAGCAGGGUCCUUCCGAAUGCCGAGCGACUUCAUGGCCUCAUGCAUACCAGCCAUGCUGUCCCACAUGUCGCAGGCAGCGUACGUGUUCGCGAGGACGACAUACUUGCCUGCGUUCCCCGGUUGCAGCCGAAAGAAGUGCGGCGCGGCAAGCUCGACCAGCCCCACGUCGCCGUGCUUCCUGCAGGCGCCCAGCAGCGCGCCCCAGACCACCGAGUGCUCCUGGCAGUCCGGCAGGUUCUUGACAAGCUCGUAGGCGUCGCAGAGCCUGCCGACCCUGGCGAGCAUGUCGACCACCGCCGCGUAGUGCGCGCCCUUCGGGGUGAGCCCGUAGUCCGACGGCAUGGACGAGAAGUGCCUCAGCCCCUCGUCGACGAGCCCACCAUGCGCACAGGCCGAGAGCACGGCGAGGAACGUCACGUCGUUCGGCCGGAACCCGUCGCGCGUCAUCUCGUCAAAGAGCGCCAGCGCCUCGCGCACGUGGCCGUGCUGGCCGUGCCCGGAGAUGAGCGCGGUCCACAUGGUGACGUUCCGCUCCGGCGCGGCCGCGAACGCCCGGCGCGCGUCCUCGGCGCUGCUGCACUUGAGGUACAUGUCGGCGAGCGCGCUGUUGGCGAACACGUUGACGUCGGCGACGGCGGACUUGACCAUGACGCCGUGCACGCGCCGGCCGUGGUCCAGCGCGGCCAUCCUGGCGCACGCGCAGAGCACCGACGCGAACGUGAACUGGUCAGGCCUCAGCCCCUCCGCCCGCAUCAGACCAAACAUCUCCACCGCCUGCGCCUCCUCGCGCCCGCGCGUGCACCCGGAUACCAUCGCGUUCCACGCCACGACGUCCCUCCGCGGCAUUCCGUCGAACAGGUCCCGGGCGACGCCGAGCUCCCCGAUCUUCGCGUAGAAGAUCAGCAGCUUGGUGGCCAUGUAGUCGCUGCAUCUGAAGCCGGUGGAGACCAUGCGCGCGUGGAUCCUCUUGCCGAGCCUCGCGUCCCUCCGGUUCACGCACUCUUGCAGCAGAAGAGCGUAGGCGCUCGAGACGGCGCACACGGCGCUCCGGUGGAGGAGGCUCACGGCCCGAGAGAGCUCCCCCGCGAUGCACAGCGACCUCAGCUUUCGCGCUAG